rnacentral:rRNA from 1 species
UACGUAGGAUCCAAGCGUUGUCCGGAUUUACUGGGCGUAAAGGGUGCGCAGGCGGCCUGGUUAGUCAGGAGUGAAAUCUCGGCGCUCAACGCCGAAACGUCUUUUGAUACUGCCAGUCUUGAAUAAGCGAGAGAUUCGUGGAAUUCCGAGUGUAGCAGUGAAAUGUGUAGAUAUUCGGAAGAACACCAGUGGCGAAGGCAGCGAAUUGGCGCUUUAUUGACGCUCAGGCACGAAAGCAUGGGGAUCAAACAGG